rnacentral:rRNA from 1 species
CCUUAUUGGAGAGUUUGAUCCUGGCUCAGGACGAACGCUGGCGGCGUGCCUAAUACAUGCAAGUCGAGCGGACUAAGAGCGAUCUUCGGAUCGCUCAAGGUUAGCGGCGGACGGGUGAGUAACACGUAGGUAACCUGCCCAUAAGACUGGGAUAACUACCGGAAACGGUAGCUAAUACCGGAUAGGUUCUUCUC